GGUCUGGCUCGUUUUCUUCUUCUUUGCUUCGGCUCAUUGGAGUUUGAAACUCCUCACUGGAGCUGUUGUCGGUGUUCGCUGGAAAAAGAACAAACGAAUGGGGUUUUGGGUUGAGCUCGCUGCUUGGAGCUCGGCGAAGUUAAUGGUGAAACAAAGAGACGGGGCAGCGCUAGUGGAAUUGGAGUUUUGGUCUGAUGGCAGGAGAUUUUGGUGGUGGUUCCGAC
rnacentral:lncRNA from 1 species